GGGCGAAAGCCUGACGUAGCGACACCGCGUGAGCGAAGAAGCCCCUUGGGGUGUAAAAGCUCUGUCAGCUGGAACGAAAAAAAUGACGGUACCAGCAGAGGAAGCAUCGGCUAACUACGUGCCAGCAGCCGCGGUAAGACGUAGGAUGCAAGCGUUGUCCGGAUUUAUUGGGCGUAAAGAGUUCGUAGGUGGUUUGUUAAGUUUGGUGUUAAAGAUUGGGGCUCAACCCUGAAACUGCACUGAAUACUGGCAGACUCGAGUGUGGUAGAGGCUAGUGGAAUUCCCAGUGUAGCGGUGAAAUGCGUAGAUAUUGGGAAGAACACCGGUGGCGUAGGCGACUAGCUGGGCCAUAACUGACACUGAGGAACGAAAGCCAGGGGAGCGAAUGGGAUUAGAUACCCCAGUAGUCCUGGCCGUAAACGAUGGAUACUAGGCGUAUCGGGUAUCGACCCCUGAUGUGCCGCAGCUAACGCGAUAAGUAUCCCGCCUGAGUAGUACGGCCGCAAGGUUGAAACUCAAAGGAAUUGACGGGGG
rnacentral:rRNA from 1 species